rnacentral:rRNA from 1 species
GGACACACGAAAGUAUUUCUGUCUCUUUUAUAUCAAUAAAAAUUGAAUUAUAGGUGAAGAUGCCUAUAUAUUUUUAAAGGACAAAAAGACCCUAUUGAGCUUUAUUUCUUAUUAAUUAAAAAAGAAAUACCACAAAUUUUUAUUAAAAGGAGAUUCUGUUGGGGCGACAAAGGAACACAAAAAACUUCCAAAAAAAAAAAGAAAACACUUCUAUUCAAUGAUCCUUAAUAGCUAAAGAAACCAGCUACCAUAGGGAUAACAGGCUAAUCAUUUUAAAGAGUUCAUAUUGAUAAAAUGGGUUGGCACCUCGAUGUUGGCUUAGGGUAUCCUAUAAGUGCAGAAGCUAUAAAGGU